rnacentral:rRNA from 1 species
UACGGAGGGUGCAAGCGUUGCUCGGAAUUAUUGGGCGUAAAGGGUAGGUAGGUGGUCUCAUUUGUCUGGGGUGAAAUCCUUGAGCUUAACUCAAGAAGUGCCUCAGAAACUGUGAGACUAGAGUUCUGGAGAGGGUCGUGGAAUUCCCGGUGUAGCGGUGAAAUGCGUAGAGAUCGGGAGGAACACCAGAGGCGAAGGCGGCGACCUGGACAGAUACUGACACUAAACUACGAAAGCGUGGGGAGCAAACAGG